AGGAUAAUAGUUAAGUAUAACAUUUGAUUUGCAUUCAAAAAGUGUUGAUUCAUUCAACUUAUCUU
rnacentral:tRNA from 1 species